GGGAAGUAACUAUUUAAGUCAGAGGACUUUGGCUCCUGAUAGUCAUGGACUCACUAGGCUGCUAAGGAGCACCCUUCAUCUACACUUAAGGGGAGAAGCCAACUAUGGGAACUGUGAAUUAAAAGUCUGAAGAGAAACUUGUGGCCAGACCAGGUAUCACCAAGAAGACUUUUCUUGACCUUCAAAUCUAAGGACAAUGUGUGACCAGCCAAAAUGCAACCAGAGCUGUCCGUCAAAACCGAGCUGCCCACAACCCCCCCCAUGCUGCGCACAGAAGCCCCCUUGCUGCGCACAGAAGCCCCCUUGCUGCGCACAGAAGCCCUCCUGCUGCGCACAGACAUCUCCAUGCUGCCCGCAAAAACCAUGCUGCCAACAGAAAGCUCCAUGCUGCCCGCAAAAACCAUGCUGCCAACAGAAAGCUCCAUGCUGCAUCCAGCCGCAGUGCUGUGAUGUGAAGCCCAAGUCUGAGGAUACUUGCCCUGGGAAAGAUUCUGAACCCCCAGCACCGCAAACUGAAGAGCGGCUCAGAAGUCCACAAAGCACAGCCAAGCCAGGCACAGAGAGGCAGAUAAAACCCAGCAAGUAGGUUGUUCCUGGAGCCAUGCCCACCCCCUUGUAGAGUGGAGGAUAACUGAGGGUCAGGCUAGACCUACGUUUAGAAAAGUUGUUGUCUUAAUGACCACCACUGCCACCCAACUAGAGGGCCCCUAUGUCUCUUCAUAGCCUCCUCUUUGAGGGAGGCUCCCAGUUGGAAACGGAAGAUUGAAAAGCCUGGAUACAUCUUUCCUAGUGAUCCUGACAUUUAGAUAGCCAGAAAUAAAAGAGCAAUGAAAAGAAAA